AAGACAUAUAUGAUGCUGUACUGACAUUGGUGGCGCACAUAAACAAAUGCUCUCCGCACUGUUUUGUGUGUUUAUUGUUUCACAUAGGUGAUUUAUCGCUGCUUAGGGCCAGCGGCCCAUCGGACAGCCUUGAGAAGACCGCCGCACGCUGUUUGCAGUCCGUCGACCACCUGUCUUCAACGGACGGACGCCCUCGGUCCCACUCAGCAAUUGACUGAAGCCUAUCGCGCCGAUAUGCUCGCUCAUCUUCCAUCCUCCCUCGCCCUCAGUGAUGCCA